rnacentral:rRNA from 1 species
GUGUUGCAUGGCUGUCGUCAGCUCGUGUCGUGAGAUGUUGGGUUAAGUCCCGCAACGAGCGCAACCCUCAUCCUUAGUUACCAUCAGGUAAUGCUGGGGACUUUAAGGAAACUGCCAGUGAUAAACUGGAGGAAGGUGGGGAUGAUGUCAAGUCAUCAUGGCCCUUAUGGAGUGGGCUACACACGUGCUACAAUGGUGGCUACAAUGGGCUGCAAAGUCGCGAGGCUAAGCUAAUCCCUUAAAAGCCAUCUCAGUUCGGAUUGUACUCUGCAACUCGAGUGCAUGAAGUUGGAAUCGCUAGUAAUCGUGGAUCAGCACGCCACGGUGAAUACGUUCUCGGGUCUUGUACACACUGCCCGUCACGCCAUGGGAAUUGGUUUC